rnacentral:lncRNA from 1 species
UCCAUCGCUUUCAUUCGUCCUCAAAAAUCAUUUUCAGCACAUCCAUUUCUUCUUUAUUCUGGAAAUAUUCUCCUUCCUGCAAGAAUGGAUUGGCUUAUAAGAUUAAAACGAGUUGUUAGAAUCAACUAAAUCGAACUCUAAGACUCAAUAUGGUAUCAGAGUCAAAUAAACUCAACAAUACGAUUCCACGAUUGAUAUUUACAAACGAGUCUAGCAUUCUUGAUUUUCAUAUUGUCUGGCAAUUUUUUGUGUUGUCUGUGGUGAAGUUUAUUCCAUUAUUUUAUAUGUUUACCUUUUUACAAUCAAUUAAAGACACUAUAAUGUAUAAAAUACUUUGGAAUAUUUGUAAAAUGGAAAAUAGAUUACCCUUUCUUAGUCGUGGUGAGGAGGUGGAGGAGACUUGUACUUGUAAACUGGAGGUGGUGGGGACUUGUACUUGUAAACUGGAGGUGGUGGGGACUUGUACUUGUAAACUGGAGGCAACAAGAAAUUCUAAUAUUCAUCCAAUUAAUAAUUUGAUGGCUGUCUGUGUAAUUUUCAAUUUUAAUUAUUCCUUGAUUGGGAUCCGUUGACUCCAAAGACGUAGCACUGUACUAGAUCUUGAUAUUGUCCUAGUCAUGAUUUUAUUUUAUUUUUUAAUUAUUUUUCCUUUCACCUCUCUCCUUCACACACGUGGAUUUUGAUUUUGACUACGAAAUUUAUUAGUUUUGAGUUUUUGACACUCGAAAACGAUAUUAUAUUAAACAAAAUAACUAAAGGCAUGAUGAAGAAAAGUAAUAUAAGCAAAGAAAUAAUAUGAUUUGUUUAAAUAUUUCGGGGUAGGUGGUGGUGGUGGAGACUUGUACACAUAAGGCUUUUUUGGGGGUGGUGGUGGAGACUUGUAGACAUAGGGUUUCUUCGGUGGAGGUGGUGACUUGUACUCGGGAGGUGGUGGAGACUUAUAUACUGGAGGCGGUGGUGGUGGAGACUUGUAGAUAUAAGGCUUCUUUGGUGGUGGUGGUGGAGACUUGUAUUCAUAAGGCUUCUUUGGGGGUGGUGGUGGAGACUUGUAGACAUAAGGCUUCUUUGGGGGUGGUGGUGGAGACUUGUAGACAUAAGGCUUCUUUGGUGGUGGUGGUGGAGACUUGUAUUCAUAAGGCUUCUUUGGGGGUGGUGGUGGAGAUUUGUAGACAUAGGGUUUCUUCGGUGGAGGUGGUGACUUGUAGACCGGAGGCGGUGAAGACUUGUAUACUGGUGGUGGUGGAGAUUUGUAAAUAUAAGGUUUAUCGUCAUCUGCAUUGGUUACAAAAGGCAAGGAUAGAGCCACUAUUGCCACCAUUAGAGUGGCAAUAAGAGAAGCCAUUGUAGACAUCUUUAGUUUUAGUUUUGAUUGUGCUAAGAACCCUUACAUGCAUCCCUUUAUAUAUAGAUUAGGAUUUACCAUUUUCAACUCAUUAAUAAUUGAUUAAUUACGGUUAAAAAAGAUAAAAUGACUAAACCCAUAACUUAAUCGCUAGAUCUUGUCGGUAAUUAGUGGCUGAAAGCUAAGCAAACGAAAUAAAAUAGGUUAUAUGACUAUUCUUUGUCCAUUUGAUGCAAUAAUUCAAUGAAAAAGUCUUCCAAUUGCAAGACUUUCUUUUCUUUUUUUUUUUGUGUAUAUUAAUAUGUAUUUAUAUUUCUAAAUAGUAUGAGAAAUUUGAAAUUUUGUUGCCUAACUUUGGAUAAUGAUUGGUACAUGGUUAACGAUUCAUAUUUUGCAACCCUUUUUCUUUUCAAACGGAGCACACAGUUUUUUCCUUUUUAAGCAUAAAUUCAUUAAAAUCUACGUCGAAUUUUUACGCCACCAUAUAUAUAUAUAUAUAUAUGUAUUGCCGGGCUCUCUGUUUUCAAUUUGCCUUAAUGCAUCGUGUAUUGUAUUUGUAAGAAUCAUUGGCAAAGUCGUAAUCGCUAGAGGAAGGGGAUUUAGGCCAUCUCCAACCAUUGCACCAAAUUGCACCAAAAUUUGGUGCAAACUUCCUCCAACCAUUGCACCAUUGCACCAAAUUUUUAUUAUUUUAGUUAGUUAGGAGGCUAAUAUAAACAUUGUAAAAAGUGGUCAAGUUGUAGUACGAUUCCAAUAUUCUAGAAAGAUUGGUUAUAUUCACACCAUAUAUAUAUAUUUUUUUGAUAAAUACACCAUAUAUUAAUCAAAUUACAGUUUAUUAUCACAAUUAUAUCCUUAAACCUUUCUUCAGCACACUUUUAUUUUUAACAUUUCAUUAAUUAGAAUAUUUUGUCCUUAAUCAUCAUUUCUCAUUUCCGUCCAAAAAUAUUAUUAACAUUCUUUAAAAUAAGAAUCAAAUAUUUAAUCGCACUUUUGUAGUAUUAUUUAUUUUGCUUAUUCAACAAUACCAUGGGCAAAUGAGUCUUUUGACUCUAUCUCAAGGAAAAAUUUGGAGAGAACCCAUAAUAAAAAAUAAUUUAUGUAUUUGAGAAGAAAAAUGCGAUGAAAAAAAUUUUGAGACAUAAAUGUAAUAAUGUGUAAAAUUAAGUUAUGAAUAUUUUAUGCAAUUAAAAUGUAGUCUAGUUAUUAAAAUUUGUGGUGUGAAUAUGUUAAGCCAUUCUAGAAUUGUGUCCAACACAUUAUUUGAAAAUUAUGUUUAAAUGCUUGUUUGGAAUAGUAUGAAAAGUUGCCAGAAAGUUGAGAUCAAAAUCAACAAUUAAUUUUAAUCAUACGUUAAAUGAUCCAAAUUUUUAUUUAACUUUUCAAUCACAUAUAUUGUCAACUUCUAUCUAAAUCUACUAAAAUUUUUAUCAAAAAAUUUUGUUAAAUAACCCUAAACUUUGACAAGUGCAAGUUUAGUUUGGAUUAACAUGGUGAAGAUCGCCACAAGAAACUACGAACCUAAGGAUAAGAGACGUAAGGAAUAUCAAUAAGUACGAAAAUUGUAUAUUAACCUAUAUAUAAUCUCAAUGAUUGUGACAACAUGCGAUGACAUGGGAAUCUAGAUAUUCUAGUGAUCAAUUCGUAAGUUGUAAAUUGACUCAUGUAUGUACAAGUUUAUUUAUUAUUCAAAUUUCAAAUAUGGUGCAACACUAUUCAUGUUGCACCAUUUUGCACCAAAUGGUGCAAUGUCCAUUUUACCUUUAUUUUUCUUUUUUCAAAGUUAAGGGUUAAGGGCAUUUGUGUCAUUUUCGUUCUAUAAUAAUAAUGAUAAUGAUAAUGAUGAGAAUAAUAAUAAUUACUUAAUUAAUUAUACUCUUAAUUAUAUUAUUAAAAUUUAUUAUUUUUAAUAAUAUAAUCAAUAAUAAUUAACGUAAUUGUUAAUUUAACGUACAGUUAAAUUCGUAAGGUUUACGUUUAAAAUUUAAUUUAAUGUAGAGUUUAUAUUAUUAAAGUUCAUUAUUUUUGUAAAUUUAACGUAAUUGUUUAUCAUAAAUUAAUAAUAUAAUCAAUUAUUUUUGUCAAUUUAACAUAAUAUAUAUGACAUGUAAUAAUAUAGUAAUCAAUAUAUUUGUUAAUUUAGUGAAGUUAUGAAUUAGUAAUAUAUAUAGUUAUAAAAUAAAUAAAUAAAUAAAUAAUAUUUUAAAAUAAAUAUAUUGUCAAAAAUCGAAAGAAUGAAUAAAAUAAUAAAGUACUGUUCAUUUGGUGUAAAUUUUGGUGUAAUGGUUGGAGAAGAAUUUUGGUUUGGUGCAAGAUUUAGUGCAAAAUUUGGUGCAAAAUGAUGCAAAAUUUGGUACAGGGUUGGAGAUGACCUUAGGAUUGCAAAAUAUGCUUUUUAAAAAUAAAAAGUCUCUUUGAAAUACUUUAAAAUAUUAAUCACCAGGUCAUCUACCGCUUCCCGAAGUGAGGUCCCACUAUGAUCCGACAAUUCUUGAAGUAGUUAAUAAUUCCUUGCUUAAUGAAAACAUCGUCCCACUUACCCUUUUGUGGAGCUUCCGUCCCUUCUAGAGAAAAGAAUGAUAGUUUUAAAAGUUUUAGCUUAAAAUUUUUAGUUUUUCUAGCGCCCACUUUGUUAAGGGAUAUAAUUCCGCAUCGAAUAAAGAUGAAAAUAUUGACCACUUUAUAAGGGGGUUUGAGCUACUCCUCUUAACGAGGUUUACCUUUUAAGAUGGAACCCUAAAUCUUAACAUGAUAUCAGAGUCCAUUAUAUUUCAACGAGAUCUACUAAAAAAAGAGCCACUAUCUUGCGGGACAUGUUAAGGGAUAUAAUCUCAUAUCGAAUAAAGACGAAAAUAUAGAUCAAUUUAUAAAGAUUUGUGCUACUUCUCUUAACAAGCUUGACAUUUUAAGAUUCAACCUCAAGUCUUAACACAUUUAUCUUCCACUACUAAUAGACUUUUUUUUUUUUUUUUUUAAAUCAAAACGGAAAAGUAGCCCUUACAUUUAACUUGUAAAUUAGAAAAUAGAAUUUAAGUAUAUAUAGUGCAUUAUAUUUUCUAACAAAUGCACUGAUGAUAGAGAGAAUCAAAGAAAUUAGAGUCGAAAUAAUUUUAUAUAAUCGAAUCUAAAAAAUUUAUCAAGAAUAAAUUUUUAUUUAUUUAUUUAUUCUUUCGACCUUUAAUUAAUAUUGACCGAAAAAAAAAAAAAGCAUCUAGUUGAUCCGUCUACGCAAGAUGGUCACAUAAAAUAACGAAUCUUAGUUUCUAAAAUUAGGUGAAGACUUAAUCAAAUUAAUUAAUUAUCAGGAUAAACAUUAAAUUUAUUCAUGAAGAACUGGUCAUCUUAAUUUUUUCAUUCAAAUUUGAUGUAAAGAUGUUUGAAACUGCACACGAUGAGCUUUUCUAAGGAAGAAAUAGUCAUCUUAAUUUGGUAAUAAAUAAUUCAGUAAUAAACAUUUAAGUGAAAAAAACGUCAUUAUAAAAAAUUAAAUAGGAAACCCUCUUUAUUUACCUUUAACUCGUUUUGAAAAUCUUGGUAGAAGUUUUGCUUAUAUUGUAUAUUGUAAGAGAAAAAUAAAGCAAUGUGAACAUCUUAAAAAUUAAUCACAAUGGAAGGAAAAAAAAAUAAUCAUAGUCAAUUAUACGUGGUAUGAUUGAGAGCUAAAAUCCAAUCUAUUUAAAGGGCCCACUUUGGUCAACCUUGUAGACUAAGGGAGCUACUUGAGCCCUAUUUUUUAUUAAAAAAUAAAUUUUGUAAUAGUGAUUUUUUUUUUUUUUUUAGAAUAUUUGAUUAAAAAAAGUAAGGAAAGUUUCAUGUUUAUGUGCAAAAUUAUUUUAUUGAAAGAAUUUAAUUGAAAAUGAGUCUAAGAAAAAAAAAAUUAAAGAACGGAGAUCAAAGAAAGACUAAGCCCCGUUUGGUAAUAAUUUUUCAUCCCAAAAAAUCAAAAUUUUAACCGUUAUUUCACUAUUUCAAUCAUCAUUUUUGACUUCUUUAAUCACAAGGAGGACCUAUUUCCUCUCUAACAGUCAAAAAAUCACUUCUCAUAAUUAUUACCAAACAUACCGUAAAACUGCAAAUUUUGUUUGAUAAUUUACUUUUUUUUUUUUUUUUUUUUUUUUUUUUUUGAUUAGUUAAUUUAAUCACCGACAGAACCAAAUUAUUAGAUUAGCAUAAUAAACAAUAUUAUUAGGUUUUUUUUUUUUUAUAAUAAUUCUUUGUUAACAAUCAAUAUAAUAUCGUGCCAUUGAUAGUCGGUACAACAGUGUUAGCAAGUUGUGCCAAGUUGAAAUUUCAAAUAUAUACUUUUGCAAUGUUUUCUUUACUAUAGAUUAAAUUGAAUUAUUCGCUUAUUUGCUUAGUGAUAUUAUUAGUUUAAUUACUCUUUAAUCACCGACAAACAAAGAUUAUCUUAAUCAUCUAAUCUUAGAUUAACAUAAUAAAAAAAUAUUAGUAGGUAGCACUUUGUUAACACUUGAGAUUUGAGUCGACAAUGUGAACUACUAGCAUCCUAGGUCAUUUACUUAAACAUAUAAUUUUUCUUUUAAUAUGGAAGAUCAAAUCUUAAUAAAGGGCAAUCCCAUAAUAUUUUAUUGUAUUACAUAAAAAUAAAAAGGGUGGUCAUAUUGCCACUGUAUUUUUUAUUUGAUACACCACAUUUUAAUUGCAAUUAAACUCCUCAAUUUUUUACUCAUUUUAUCAUUUAUUUCUUUAACAUUUUUAUUGAAUUUUUAUCUUUAACUUUUCAUUAAUUAAUACAUCUAGUCCUUAAUGAUAAUUUAUAUCAAAAUAUUUUAUUUUUAUGAUUUGAAACGAGGGGAAAAUAUUUUUGACACUUUUAUUUAUUUAUUUUUAAAAAAAUAUGAUAGAAAAUAAGUUAAUCUACGCAAUUUCGAUGAACUGUUGGACAUAAAACUAUUAUUACAUUUUUAUUUAACUUUUCGACCACAUAUAUUGUCAACUUCUUUCUAAAUCUACUAAAAUUUUUUAUCAAAAAAUUUUGUUAAAUAACCCCCUAAACUUUGACAAGUGCAAGUAAAGUUUGGACUAACAUGGUGAGGAUGGCCACAAGAAACUACGAACCUAAGGAUAAGAGAUGUAAGGAAUAUCACUAGUACGAAAAUUGUAUAUUUAGCCUAUAUAUAAUCUCAAUGAUUGUUACAACGUACGAUGAACAUGGGAGUCUAGAUAUUCUAGUGCUCAAUUAGUAAGUUGUAAAUUGACUCAUGUAUUUACAAGUUUAUUUAUUAUUCAAAUUAUUUAAUUUUUUUUAAGAGAAUCGAGUAGAGGACUUUGAUGGUGAAACAACAAUUUUUAACCAAUCACGACAAAAUGAAUUUAUUUAAAUAAUACUAUUAUCACAUCUCUUCAAAUGCUAGACACAUUUUUUUUUUUUUCAUCAAUAGCCUCUUAGUGCAUGCCCAAUUCACUUUUUCAGCAAAUUUAUUUAUCUAAGUUAUGUCUUCAAUAAUCCAUUCGAUUUUAGCUUUAGCCGUGAAAAGGGUUUUGGCUUGAAGAGCCAUUUUUUGUCAAUAAAAUAAAUAGAUUCUGUAUUAAGUAUAUUUUACGUUUUGUAUUUUACUCAAUAUGUCAAUAUCUAAUUCCAAGAAAUUAUUUAUGUAUAUUUAUGUUUUCAAUAUGCCCCAACAUAUCUAUGCUAUGUGAACAUCUUAUAUUUAUCGCGAUAGAUGUUAUUUGAAUUCUUAAAUUUUAUCAAAUUAAGUAUGAUAUUUAAUAAUCUCAUCUACUUAAAGUAAAGAUUUAUUUCAAGACUUCCAUUAAACAAGAACAUGAACAUUCACUUAUUUAUUAUAUAAAUCAUGAAACACUCUGCAUACAACCAUGCAUGGCUUGCUACGUAAAACAUAGGGACGCUAAUCUUAAUAAAAUAAACAAACUGAAGAAAAUUAUGACAACUUCUUCUGCAGUAUAUAUAGCUUAUUCUAUUCUUCUUCCAUCGCUUUCAUUCUUCCUCAAAAAUCAUUUUCAGCAUAUCCAUUUCUUCUUUAUUCUGGAAAUCUUCUCCUUCCUGCAAGAAUGGAUUGGCUUAUAAGAUUAAAACGAGUUGUUAGAAUCAACUAAAUCGAACUCUAAGACUCAAUAUGGUAUCAGAGUCAAAUAAACUCAACAAUACGAUUCCACGAUUGAUAUUUACAAACGAGUCUAGCAUUCUUGAUUUUCAUAUUGUCUGGCAAUUUUUUGUGUUGUCUGUGGUGAAGUUUAUUCCAUUAUUUUAUAUGUUUACCUUUUUACAAUCAAUUAAAGACACUAUAAUGUAUAAAAUACUUUGGAAUAUUUGUAAAAUGGAAAAUAGAUUACCCUUUCUUAGUCGUGGUGAGGAGGUGGAGGAGACUUGUACUUGUAAACUGGAGGUGGUGGGGACUUGUACUUGUAAACCGGAGGUGGUGGUGGUGGGGACUUGUACACAUAGGGUUUCUUCGGGGUAGGUGGUGGUGGUGGAGACUUGUACACAUAAGGCUUUUUUGGGGGUGGUGGUGGAGACUUGUAGACAUAGGGUUUCUUCGGUGGAGGUGGUGACUUGUACUCGGGAGGUGGUGGAGACUUAUAUACUGGAGGCGGUGGUGGUGGAGACUUGUAGAUAUAAGGCUUCUUUGGUGGUGGUGGUGGAGACUUGUAUUCAUAAGGCUUCUUCGGGGGUGGUGGUGGAGACUUGUAGACAUAAGGCUUCUUUGGUGGUGGUGGUGGAGACUUGUAUUCAUAAGGCUUCUUCGGGGGUGGUGGUGGAGACUUGUAGACAUAAGGCUUCUUUGGUGGUGGUGGUGGAGACUUGUAUUCAUAAGGCUUCUUCGGGGGUGGUGGUGGAGACUUGUAGACAUAAGGCUUCUUUGGUGGUGGUGGUGGAGACUUGUAUUCAUAAGGCUUCUUUGGGGGUGGUGGUGGAGAUUUGUAGACAUAGGGUUUCUUCGGUGGAGGUGGUGACUUGUAGACCGGAGGCGGUGGAGACUUGUAUACUGGUGGUGGUGGAGACUUGUAAAUAUAAGGUUUAUCGUCAUCUGCAUUGGUUACAAAAGGCAAGGAUAGAGCCACUAUUGCCACCAUUAGAGUGGCAAUAAGAGAAGCCAUUGUAGACAUCUUUAGUUU